rnacentral:rRNA from 1 species
GAUGAACGCUGGCGGUCUGCUUAACACAUGCAAGUCGAACGGAAGUAGCAAUACUUUAGUGGCGGACGGGUGAGUAACACGUAAGAAUCUGCCUCCAGGACGGGAAAAACAGUUGGAAACGACCGCUAAUUCCGGAUGAGCCGAAAGGGAAAAAGAAAUUCGCCUGGAGAUGAGCUUGCGGCUGAUUAGCUAGUUGGUAGGGUAAGAGCCUACCAAGGCGACGAUCAGUAGCUGGUCUGAGAGGAUGAGCAGCCACACUGGGACUGAGACACGGCCCAGACUCCUACGGGAGGCAGCAGUGGGGAAUUUUCCGCAAUGGGCGAAAGCCUGACGGAGCAAGACCGCGUGGGGGAGGAAGGUUCUUGGAUUGUCAACCCCUUUUCUCAGGGAAGAAGAUCUGACGGUACCUGAGGAAUCAGCAUCGGCUAACUCCGUGCCAGCCGCCGCCGUAAUAC